CAUGGCGCAGUGUGUGGGGGCAGCUGCUUCCUUGGGGUUAGAUUUCCCAUCUCCAGCCGGUGUGGCCGCAGAUUGAUUCCGGGCUGUACCGCCUGGAGUGGGUGUUUAGUAUGAAUCACUGGCUUCCCCUGCCGAGAGCAUCGCUUGAUGUGGCGGCGAAUUUGAACCCAGAGCACAAAUCCCGGCCUGUGAACGGAGCUUGGGUCUCCUUACGCUGGUGCAAAUCGGGAAUAGUUCUCACAUUGGGAGGUGACAGUGACCAGUCGGUGGCUUUGGCCAUUCAGGAAAAUCUCUUCCAAGGCGGAGAAGUGCACAGGAGGGAGACGUAGACUCCCACGCAGGUCCGGCUUUAUAACGAGCGCCAGGCGUGCUUGUAAAUCCCAUUUUGCCUAAUGACACGUGCUAACCGACUUGAGCCGUGGAUUCCGUAAGAACGGCUGCCUCCCGGUUCGGGUACGCGAGGGGGUUCCUCUGUAUUGGAUCUGUCCCAGAAAUAGGCGUUGCCCGGCCUGGUCAUGGUGGAAGUCAUGAGACUCGACCCUGAUCAAAGCGUGCAUUGUGCCACUGUAUUUAUCUUGCAAUUUCCACCUCACUGUGUUCUCUGUGCGGAGGGCCCAAAUUCAAACUGCCCUACAUCCCCGUUCAUCAGCUCUGUCUGAUUUCCUCUUUAUUGCCUGUACUUAAGACUGUCUUGUGAAGCUGUCCUUCCAAAUCUUGCGUUCCUGAAAUGAAUCCUGCAGCUGUUAAACUUUGUGCUUUUUUUUGCCCCCUGCACUGUGGGUUUUGAAAGUUUGCGGUGUCCUAAAAACCUACCAGAUGUUGGCACCUCUCUGAAUUCUGGGCAGGUGGACUCAACACUUUCUGUGAAAAUUUGGUCCUGUGUCCUCAUCUCUGUUAAAUCCGGAGAAGGAUGCUUACCUGCUUUGGUAGCUCUCAAAGCACUUUGCAAUGAAAAGUGCUAGAUAAGAGUUAGGUAUUGCUCUAGCUUGAAGACUCGAUCUACUGUCCAGUCUUCUCAACUAUCAAGGGGACAAAUCACAAACCCAAAGAACUUUUUUUUGUUGUUGUUGCAAAGAUAGCAAGCAUAUUGUGUUGCGCAGAAGUUAGGUACAAAUGUAGUGAGGAAAGUAGCACAGCUUUCCAGCUAGAUCUUCAGGUUUGGGAACAUAUUCUUUCCGCCUUUUGGCCUUGCCAAUUUGCUGCCCAAACUAUGCCGCAUUCUUUAAACCAGUGGCUCUCGAACCUUUCCAGACUACUCCUUUCCGGAGUCUGAUUUGUCUUGCAACGCCCCCCCCUCCUUUCUAGGUCUCACUCACUUAAAAACGAUGUGCUUACAAAAUCAGACAUAAAAA